CCAUGCGCGCCGGCGGCGGCGGCGGAGGAGGAGACCGCCUCCAUUCGCUACGUGCAGAGUCGAGAGUCCGCACUAGCAACCGUCGGAGGCGAGGAAAGAGGGAGUUUGUCUGUGUCCCAGCGAACGUACAGGAAGCUUGCAGUAGGAACUCCAAAUAAGAUAUGAUGCUAUUGUUAAGAAAAAGCAAAAUCAGACUCUUCGAACAUAAUGUUGGCAUUUAGUUAAUAAAA